rnacentral:tRNA from 1 species
GGUGGCUCAGUGGUAGAGUGCUUGCCUUGCAUGCAUGAGACGCUGGGUUCAAUUCCUCAGCACCA